UGAUGGUGAUGAGGACAAUUUCCAAGCAUACCUUUAAAUCUCUCCCAAGCUUGGUGGAGAUUUUCUCCAUCUUUCUAUCUGAAACUCAAGAUCUCAUGCCUUACACG
rnacentral:snoRNA from 1 species